CCAGACUCCUACGGGAGGCAGCAGUGGGGGAUAUUGCACAAUGGGGGGAACCCUGAUGCAGCGACGCCGCGUGAGUGAAGAAGUAUUUCGGUAUGUAAAGCUCUAUCAGCAGGGAAGAAAAUGACGGUACCUGACUAAGAAGCCCCGGCUAACUACGUGCCAGCAGCCGCGGUAAUACGUAGGUGGCAAGCGUUGUCCGGAAUUACUGGGUGUAAAGGGAGCGUAGGCGGGAAUGCAAGUUGAAUGUUUAAACUAUGGGCUCAACCCAUAGUCGCGUUCAAAACUGCAUUUCUUGAGUGGAGUAGAGGCAGGCGGAAUUCCUAGUGUAGCGGUGAAAUGCGUAGAUAUUAGGAGGAACACCAGUGGCGAAGGCGGCUUACUGGACUGUAACUGACGUUGAGGCUCGAAAGCGUGGGGAGCAAACAGGAUUAGAUACCCCCGUAC
rnacentral:rRNA from 1 species